AAGCGUGUUCCUCGUCCUCGCUGUGCACGCCGGGAUGGCUCUGCCGCAGCUCCGCCCAGAAGCGGAGAGUUGGGAGUUAUGGCAUGAACAUGCUGUGCUGUUUUGGAGGAGGGGCUACAGCAAGUAAAUGGCAGAAGCUUUUCUACCUGAUUUGAUGAGAUUCUUCUUGGUUGCACUUUUCUUUUGUAAUUCAGCCACUGUACCAGAAAACGAUGUAAUCAAAUGUUGAUAUUACCGAGAGCUUCACCAGCCUAUGGCCUAGAGGAG